rnacentral:tRNA from 1 species
UGAAUCAUGCAAUGGUAGUGAAUCUGACUCGAGAUUAGAAGGUUGCAUGUUCGAUUCAUGUCGGGUUCAA